rnacentral:rRNA from 1 species
GGACUACCAGGGUUUCUAAUCCUGUUUGAUCCCCACACUUUCGUGCUUCAGCGUCAGUCACAUCUUAGUAAGCUGCCUUCGCAAUCGGUGUUCUGUGCAAUAUCUAAGCAUUUCACCGCUACACUGCACAUUCCGCCUACCUCAGAUGUACUCAAGACACACAGUAUCAAAGGCAAUUCUCCAGUUAAGCUGAAGUCUUUCACCUCUGACUUAUGCGUCCGCCUACGCACCCUUUAAACCCAAUAAAUCCGGAUAACGCUCGCAUCCUCCGUAUUACCGCGGCUGCUGGCAC